rnacentral:rRNA from 1 species
GACAGAGGAUGCAAGCGUUUAUCCGGAAUGAUUGGGCGUAAAGCGUCUGUAGGUGGCUUUUCAAGUCCGCCGUCAAAUCCCAGGGCUCAACCCUGGACAGGCGGUGGAAACUACCAAGCUGGAGUUCGGUAGGGGAGACUGGAAUUCCUGGUGUAGCGGUGAAAUGCGCAGAUAUCAGGAGGAACACCGAUGGCGAAGGCAGGUCUCUGGGCCACUACUGACGCUGAGAAGCGAAAGCGUGGGGGAGCGAACAGG